AGCGAACGCUGGCGGCAGGCUUAACACAUGCAAGUCGAGCGGGCCCUUCGGGGUCAGCGGCGGACGGGUGAGUAACGCGUGGGAACGUGCCUUCUGGUUCGGAAUAGCUCCGGGAAACGUGAGCUAAUACCGGAUGCGCCCUUUGGGGGAAAGGUUUACUGCCGGUAGAUCGGCCCGCGUCUGAUUAGCUAGUUGGUGGGGUAACGGCCUACCAAGGCGACGAUCAGUAGCUGGUCUGAGAGGAUGACCAGCCACACUGGGACUGAGACACGGCCCAGACUCCUACGGGAGGCAGCAGUGGGGAAUAUUGGACAAUGGGCGCAAGCCUGACCCAGCCAUGCCGCGUGAGUGAUGAAGGCCUUAGGGUUGUAAAGCUCUUUUAUCCGGGACGAUAAUGACGGUACCGGAGGAAGAAGCCCCGGCUAACUUCGUG
rnacentral:rRNA from 1 species